rnacentral:rRNA from 1 species
GAGGAAUAUUGCACAAUGGGCGCAAGCCUGAUGCAGCGACGCCGCGUGGGUGAAGAAGGUUUUCGGAUCGUAAAACCCUUUUCUGUGUGACGAGCAAGGACGGUAGCACAGGAAUAAGUCUCGGCUAACUACGUGCCAGCAGCCGCGGUAAAACGUAGGAGACAAACGUUAUCCGGAGUUACUGGGCGUAAAGGGCGCGUAGGUGGCCCGGUCAGUCUUUGGUGAAAGCGCGGGGCUCAACCCUGCGUCGGCCAGGGAUACUGCCGCGGCUCGAGCACUGUAGAGGCAGGCGGAAUUCCGGGUGUAGCGGUGGAAUGCGUAGAGAUCCGGAAGAACACCGGUGGCGAAGGCGGCCUGCUGGGCAGUUUGGCUGACACUGAGGCGCGACAGCGUGGGGAGCAAAC